rnacentral:rRNA from 1 species
GAUGAACGCUGGCGGCGUGCUUAACACAUGCAAGUCGAACGGAAAGGCGCGUGCUUGCAGGGGUACUCGAGUGCGGAAGGGGGGAGUAACACGUGGGGGAUCUGCCCUGCACUUCGGGAGAAAACUGCGGAACUGGGUCGAAAAUCGGGUAUGACGAUUGGUUGGAUGCGAUUGUGGAAAGAUUGUCGGUGUUGGAUAGUCUCGCAGCCUAUCCGCUUGUUGGUGGGGUAAUGGCCUACGAAGGCGUCGACGGGUAGCCCGCCUGAGAGCGUGUACGGCCUCCUUGGGCCUGCGAUACGGACCAGACGCCUACGGGCCGCAGUAGUGGGGAAUAUUGCGCAAUGGGGGCACGCGUGAGGCAGCGAUGCUGCGUUCGGAAUGAUGGCCUUUGAGUUGUAAACAAAUUUCUAAGUGGCCGAAGCCGACGUGACGGUACCUGGACAAGAAGCCACGGCUAACUACGUG